rnacentral:rRNA from 1 species
CCUACGGGGGGCAGCAGUGAGGAAUAUUGGUCAAUGGGCGUAAGCCUGAACCAGCCAAGUCGCGUGAGGGAUGAAGGUUCUAUGGAUCGUAAACCUCUUUUAUAAGGGAAUAAAGUGUGGGACGUGUCCUGUUUUGUAUGUACCUUAUGAAUAAGGAUCGGCUAACUCCGUGCCAGCAGCCGCGGUAAUACGGAGGAUCCGAGCGUUAUCCGGAUUUAUUGGGUUUAAAGGGUGCGUAGGCGGCCUUUUAAGUCAGCGGUGAAAGUCUGUGGCUCAACCAUAGAAUUGCCGGUGAAACUGGGAGGCUUGAGGAUGUUUGAGGAAGGCGGAAUGCGUGGUGUAGCGGUGAAAUGCUUAGAUAUCACGCAGAACCACGAUUGCGAAGGCAGCCUGCCAAGCCAUGACUGACGCUGAUGCACGAAAGCGUGGGGAUCAAACAGGAUUAGAUACCCCAGUAGUC